GAGGAAUUGGCGGGGGAGCACCACAACGGGUGGAGCCUGCGGUUUAAUUGGACUCAACGCCGGGAAGCUCACCGGAUAAGACAGCUGAAUGAUUGCCGGGCUGAAGACUCUGCAUGACUAGCUGAGAGGAGGUGCAUGGCCGUCGUCAGUUCGUACUGUGAAGCAUCCUGUUAAGUCAGGCAACGAGCGAGACCCGUGCCCACUGUUACCAGCAUAUCCUCCGGGAUGAUGGGUACUCUGUGGGGACCGCUGAUGUUAAAUCGGAGGAAGGUGCGGGCCACGGUAGGUCAGUAUGCCCCGAAUCUCCCGGGCUACGCGCGGGCUACAAUGGAUGGGACAAUGGGUCCCUCCCCUGAAAAGGGCUGGUAAUCUCACAAACCCAUUCGUAGUUCGGAUCGAGGGCUGUAACUCGCCCUCGUGAAGCUGGAAUCCGUAGUAAUCGCGUUUCAAUAUAGCGCGGUGAAUACGUCCCUGCUCCUUGCACACACCGC
rnacentral:rRNA from 1 species